rnacentral:rRNA from 1 species
CCUACGGGUGGCAGCAGUGGGGAAUAUUGGGCAAUGGGCGCAAGCCUGACCCAGCAAUGCCGCGUGAAGGACGAAGGCUUUCGGGUUGUAAACUUCUUUUCGCAGGGACGAAGGAAGUGACGGUACUUGAGGAAUAAGCCACGGCUAACUACGUGCCAGCAGCCGCGGUAAUACGUAGGUGGCAAGCGUUAUCCGGAUUUAUUGGGUGUAAAGGUCGUGUAGGCGGGAGCGCAAGUCAGAUGUGAAAACUCAGGGCUCAACCCUGAGCCUGCAUUUGAUACUGUGUUUCUUGAGUGCUGGAGAGGCAAGCGGAAUUCCGGGUGUAGCGGUGAAAUGCGUAGAGAUACGGAGGAACACCAGUGGCGAAGGCGGAUUGCUGGACAGUAACUGACGCUGAGGCGCGAAAGCGUGGGGAGCAAACAGGAUUAGAUACCCGAGUAGUC